rfam:Triticum aestivum genome assembly, contig: Triticum_aestivum_CS42_TGACv1_scaffold_196941_3AL
AACGUACUCCCUCCGUUCCUAAUUACUUGUCAUAGAUAUGGAUGUAUCUAGAUGAAUUUUAGUUUCUAGAUACAUCCAUUUCUGCGACGAGUAAUUUGGGACGGAGGGAGUAUAUA